rnacentral:rRNA from 1 species
UACGUAGGGGGCAAGCGUUGUCCGGAAUUAUUGGGCGUAAAGAGCGUGUAGGCGGUCCGGUAAGUCGGCUGUGAAAGUCCAGGGCUCAACCCUGGGAUGCCGGUCGAUACUGCCGGACUAGAGUUCGGAAGAGGCGAGUGGAAUUCCCGGUGUAGCGGUGAAAUGCGCAGAUAUCGGGAGGAACACCUAUGGCGAAGGCAGCUCGCUGGGACGUUACUGACGCUGAGGCACGAAAGCGUGGGGAGCGAACAUG